rnacentral:rRNA from 1 species
UACGAAGGGUGCAAGCGUUACUCGGAAUUACUGGGCGUAAAGCGUGCGUAGGUGGUUGUUUAAGUCUGCUGUGAAAGCCCUGGGCUCAACCUGGGAAUUGCAGUGGAUACUGGGCGACUAGAGUGUGGUAGAGGAUAGUGGAAUUUCCGGUGUAGCAGUGAAAUGCGUAGAGAUCGGAAGGAACAUCUGUGGCGAAGGCGACUAUCUGGGCCAACACUGACACUGAGGCACGAAAGCGUGGGGAGCAAACAAG